AAGGAAAAUGAUUAUUUAAUGCUAAAAUACACUUAAUCUUCCCACAUGUGUUAAUCACUCGUAUUUGAAAAAACAGGCUUUGGGUGACCUUUCGAAAGAGGCCCGAGGAGACAAGCAGACGCCUUCAACUGUUUGUUUAAGAGCAUACAAAAGCCAUAAAAUUAGCAUCUCCAUGGAAACGGCAGCUGGAAUGUGGUAGGAAGAAACUCCAGGAGAGUCGGCGAGAUUUAUAACAGGACUUCGGUGCGGGGGAUAUUCGUGCAGGACUGGGGGUUUCCCUCCGAUUUGCUUGGACAAAAAAACAGAGCACCUUCGAGGCUGAACCAGGUCUCUGAUUGGUCAAAACAACAGAACGCCUUUUUUGCAUAUAUUAAAUAGGGAAACACCCUUUUGGUUUAUAGUUUCAGGUCAACACCGGAGAAGGGAGAGUUUUUUACCAUCUUUUCUCCACGUGGGCGCCUUUGUCUGUCUCUGUGUUCGUUUGUCUUCCCUUGUGUGUUUUUAUUUUCAUGAGAAAAUGCAUAUCUCUGUUCCUCUGCAGCUUUGUUGUUCAUUGCUUUUUAUGAGAUUAAACUCUGUAUUUCUGUGACGUCAUCGUGCCUUGCCUUCUCCUUGCCAGCGUGAUGUCAUCCGCUCGCGACCCGGCUAACAGGAGGAGAGGAGAGCCAUGCCUUUUCCAAAAUUAAGCUAACCUAAUAACUUUCCUUCCUUAACAGGAACCAAUUCAAGACAACUCCUGGUGUGCUGGAGGGAUGAUAUAAGACGUCACUGGGGAGGAACUGUGACAGGAGUGUUGUCAAGUUAAAAGGGAGGAAAUGAGGCUCCGUCGCCUGCCAGCUUGGGACUGUAGUCUGGAGAGGGUGAGCAGAAAGAGCCUGGAGACGGGUCGUACCUACAGCUGCACAGGACACCUGUCUCCCCUGUAGCUCUGUCGCCGCUCUAAAGCCACGCAUGUACACGUCAUCCGGAGCACACAAUCUGACAGUCUGCUCAGCGGUAAUUCCUUCUGUCUCAUCACCCCCCACUGACUACCAAGAACCUUCAACAAAGGUGAAACGGAGCAUCAUGGGGAGUUAAGAGAAACCGCAUAGCCUUUCAUUCAGUUCUAGUUGCUCAAUAAGAGAUCAUGUUGUACUUCAGGUCAUUACUUUCACCAAUGCAAGAUGCACGCUUUUGAGCGGUUGUGCCGAAUAGUCGAUGCGUGGUCACAUGGUUUUGAGACGUUCGUAUUUGCUCACACCUUUCACACCUGUGGACACUCUUCCCACUUCAAGAUACAUCAAGCAUUCUCCAUUUCUUCCCAGCAAUUUGACAGUCUUUGAAUUGUUUUUUUGUUUUUUUUUAGAAUUGCACAAAUGUACUUAAUUCUGCACCAUGUCUGAUGAAUUCUCCUCAAAUGUAUUCAUGCAGCCAAAGCAUUCAUUGAUACAAAUGAUGUACAACUAAAAAUUUUAUAUGUGUAAAGCUGAAAAAAACAUCAUUUAAUAGUAAUAAAAUAAUAAACCAUAGGAGGAACAAUGAUUUAAAAUCCUAGUUUAAUAAUAAUAAAAAAAAACUUAUAUUGUUGAAUAUUAUUAUGAUGAUAUUCCUUAUGAUUACAGGAUUUGGACAUAUUGAUAGAGAAUUUUCAUAGUAUAAUAAACAGAGUCUUUAUUGGUGGGUUUA